UACGUAGGGUGCAAGCGUUGUCCGGAAUUAUUGGGCGUAAAGAGCUCGUAGGCGGUUUGUCGCGUCUGCUGUGAAAUCCCAGGGCUUAACCCUGGGCCUGCAGUGGGUACGGGCAAACUAGAGUGAUGUAGGGGAGACUGGAAUUCCUGGUGUAGCGGUGAAAUGCGCAGAUAUCAGGAGGAACACCGAUGGCGAAGGCAGGUCUCUGGGCAUUAACUGACGCUGAGGAGCGAAAGCAUGGGGAGCGAACAGG
rnacentral:rRNA from 1 species